rnacentral:misc_RNA from 1 species
ACUCUGUUUCUUUGGGGCGUUUGGUAGCCAGAAAUAAUCUGCUAGGAAAGUGAUUAGGAAUAUUCGAGUUGUUUGUUCAGAAAUGUUCAUUCCCAGGAAUGGUACACUCCCAGGAAUGUUAAACUCUGGAAAAUUUUCAAUUCCUAAAUCUAAUGGUCUCAUAUGUAUCUCAUAUAUACUUUCCCAUGUGUACGAAAGAAUUAUUUUUCAGGGGGAAAGUUACUUUUUUGUAAGUGUGAGAAAUUAGUAAAAAAAAAAUAAAGAAGAAGAUAAAUAUGGAUAUUAAUGUCCUCAUUUAUAAUAACAUUUACAAAAG